UGGGGAAUAUUGCGCAAUGGGCGAAAGCCUGACGCAGCAACGCCGCGUGAGUGAUGAAGGCCUUCGGGUCGUAAAGCUCUGUCGGAGGGAACGAAUGCUCUUGAGGUUAACAGCCUCGGGAGGUGACGGUACCCUCAAAGGAAGCACCGGCUAACUCUGUGCCAGCAGCCGCGGUAAUACAGAGGGUGCAAGCGUUGUUCGGAAUCAUUGGGCGUAAAGGGCGUGUAGGCGGUAUGUUAAGUCAUGUGUGAAAUCCCCGGGCUUAACCUGGGAAUUGCGCUUGUAACUGGCAGGCUAGAGUGUGGCAGAGGGGGGUGAAUUCCACGUGUAGCAGUGAAAUGCGUAGAUAUGUGGAGGAACACCGAUGGCGAAGGCAGCCCCCUGGGUUAACACUGACGCU
rnacentral:rRNA from 1 species